GUGGGGAAUCUUGCGCAAUGGGCGAAAGCCUGACGCAGCCAUGUCGCGUGAAUGAUGAAGGUCUUAGGAUUGUAAAAUUCUUUCACCGGGGACGAUAAUGACGGUACCCGGAGAAGAAGCUCCGGCUAACUUCGUGCCAGCAGCCGCGGUAAUACGAAGGGGGCUAGCGUUGCUCGGAAUUACUGGGCGUAAAGGGCGCGUAGGCGGACAGCUUAGUCAGAGGUGAAAGCCCAGGGCUCAACCUUGGAAUUGCCUUUGAUACUGGCUGUCUUGAGUUUGGGAGAGGUGAGUGGAACUCCGAGUGUAGAGGUGAAAUUCGUAGAUAUUCGGAAGAACACCAGUGGCGAAGGCGACUCACUGGCCCAAUACUGACGCUGAGGCGCGAAAGCGUGGGGAGCGAACAGGAUUAGAAACCCUUGUAGUCC
rnacentral:rRNA from 1 species